rnacentral:rRNA from 1 species
GACAGAGGCCCCAAGCGUUAGGCGGAAUCACUGGGCUUAAAGCGUGUGUAGGCGGAUCGUUAAGUGUCUUGUGAAAUCCCACGGCUCACCCGUGGAACUGCUGGGCAUACUGGCGAUCUUGGGCCAACUAGGGGCAGUCGGAACAAGCGGUGGAGCGGUGAAAUGCGUAGAUAUCAGGAGGAACACCGGUGGUGAAAACGAGUCUCUGGUCCGCUUCUGACGCUCAGGUGCGAAAGCUAGGGGAGCAAACGGG